UAUGGCGCUCCUCUGAGUAGA
rnacentral:piRNA from 1 species